CGUAGGUGACAAGCGUUGUCCGGAUUUAUUGGGUUUAAAGGGUGCGUAGGCGGCCCUGUAAGUCAGUGGUGAAAUAUCUCAGCUUAACUGAGAGGGUGCCAUUGAUACUGCGGGGCUUGAGUACAGAUGAGGUAGGCGGAAUUGACGGUGUAGCGGUGAAAUGCAUAGAUAUCGUCAAGAACUCCGAUAGCGAAGGCAGCUUACUAAGCUGUAACUGUCGCUGAGGCACGAAAGUGUGGGGAUCAAACAGGAUUGGAUACCCUGGUAGUCCACACUGUAAACGUUGAUGACUCGAUGUUGGCGAUACACAGCCAGCGUCCAAGAGCAAUCGUUAAGUCAUCCACCUGGGGAGUACGCCGGCAACGGUG
rnacentral:rRNA from 1 species